AUUACGUACAACUCUAUGUAAAAUUACUAUAAUACAUUGUAAUUAAAUAUUAAACUCAUUAGAUAAAGGUUAAUGUCCAUACUAAAAAUUUAGUGUUUUUCUUUGUAAGUUAGAGGAAAAUCAUAUUAGUUUUAUAAUACCUUGACAUUCAAUAUUCAGAUGAAAAUUUAGCAUUUUUUUCAUGAUUUUUGAAAAGAUUAUCCACAAGAAGUGUUACAGGUAAGGAAGCAGAAACCCCACACUUAUAUGUAGGCUAUAGUAUCUGCUUCAUGCCUUCAAAGAAUGUGAAGAGAAUGUAGGAGACUGAUACUCAGUGCAGCACCCAUGCACACGUUGUAAACGCCACAAAUAUUCUUUUUGUUCUGAUGACAUUUGUUCCGAAAUAUCACCACGGCAAUCUAGCCAUCACCUUUUUUUAAUGCAGGCCUGAAUAUUCUGACACUAGGAUAAUGUAUUUGCUGUGUAGCUGUUUUAAAGCAGCACUUUAAGUUACAUUUUGAGAUUUUGCUUAUGGGAACGAUGGUGUUAUUUUUGUACCAAAAACGUUAGCGAAAACUCCACGAACUCUCCGCGUUAACUGUCACAUGCAAUCAGAAGCUGCAGGUGGAAGCAUUCUAAUCUUGUUUCUGAUUGGCUGAUCAACAGCUUGAGGUAUUCUAAAUACCGCUUAAGACGAAGAUAUUCUAAUUACCGCUUUAUUAUUGGCGCAUUUAAAUAAGCGCACGGGUGAGGGCGCGAUCUGACGCGAAAUUUGUUUAUUGCUUAGGUCUCAGACACAGAUGUAACGUGAUAUAAACCAGCCAAUCGGAAACAGGGGUCCUUCAAACGUUUAGCGCGCGCAAAAGUGGUCUACAGCCGGUAAACGGUUUCUGUGUAAAUUCAGAGGAGUUAAGACACGUUGAUGAGCUACAGGUGAGGAGGAAAGCAGUCUCUGAGGGACAGAGGAGAAGACCCUGAAAUGUAUUGUUUUAGUAGGAAAAAGAAUACCUGCAAGCUCAAGAGACAUUGACGGCAAAAGGUGAGUCUCAGGUACCGUUAACAUUACUCUGCCAUGUCACUGCUGAGAAGCUGCAGAAAUCCCCUUAUACCUAUAAGGGUAAAGAAGUCAAAUGGACAGGGAGGUUUAGCGAGCUCUUUAAGAGCAUCCACAUUAAGAAUUUCGAGAGUCAGUGUGUCUACUGUACUCUGAAACCUAACGGCAAUAUAAGUAUUAGUGUCUGACACUGUUAGCCUGACAGGGUCAGAGAUGACUUAUGUUACAUUAACAGCUGCUUUUACUCUCCAAAAUGUAAACUUCCACAAACAUUGUGUAUUUGUACUUUUAAACGACUUAUCCCAUUCAGUAAAUUUAUGUCAAUACUUCAGUCAAAAUAAAUGUAUAUUCAUGUAAAUAUUCUCACAUAUAUAAUACAGUAUAUACAUUGACACAUCUUGUUCUAAUUCAAUAGAGAUCAAUAUGUUGAAAACGUAUGUAUAUGUAGCUGCCUGCUUCUGUGUGAUAUUUACAUUAACAUUUUCCAGCUCUGAUUACUGCCAGUGAUAAUGAAACUUGCUUACAUUUUUAGAUUAAACAUUUACUAUGGAAGAAGAGGCAUCCAGUAGAGAGACAAGUCCAUAGAGUGCAAUAUAAGACUACUUUGAAUCUUUCCAUGGUGAUUUAAAAGUUAACUCCUUCAACCUUGGAUCAUUUUGAGUCCUUUUUUUUUUUUUUUUUUUUUUACUGUGUAGAGAUCCUUUCCGUAUUAUCUCACUUAUAACCUUUAUUAGCCUGUCAGUGGUCAAAAUAAGUUGUUCACACUGAUGCACGUGCCUGUUGGAUUAAAUUGCAUUGCAUUUGUGUGAAUGCUGGUUGUAGCGUUCAAAUUUGAUACUGGACUGAUUCCGACUAU